rnacentral:rRNA from 1 species
UACGGAGGAUGCAAGCGUUAUCCGGAUUUAUUGGGUUUAAAGGGUGCGCAGGUUGUUUAAUAAGUCAGUGGUGAAAGUCUGUCGCUUAACGGUAGGAUUGCCAUUGAUACUGUUAGACUUGAAUAUGGAUGAGGUAGGCGGAAUGUGUAGUGUAGCGGUGAAAUGCAUAGAUAUUACACAGAACACCGAUUGCGAAGGCAGCUUACUAAUCCAUCAUUGACGCUGAGGCACGAAAGCGUGGGGAUCAAACAGGA